UCCGGUUUAUCACCGGCAGUCUCCUUAGAGUUCCCAGCCGAACUGUUGGCAACUAAGGACGAGGGUUGCGCUCGUUACGGGACUUAACCCAACAUCUCACGACACGAGCUGACGACAGCCAUGCAGCACCUGUCUCUCGGUUCCCGAGGGCACCCUUCUAUCUCUAGAAGGUUCCGAGGAUGUCAAGAGUAGGUAAGGUUCUUCGCGUUGCAUCGAAUUAAACCACAUGCUCCACCGCUUGUGCGGGCCCCCGUCAAUUCCAUUUGAGUUUUAACCUUGCGGCCGUACUCCCCAGGCGGAGAACUUAACGCGUUAGCUUCGGCACUAAGGAGACAAAGCUCCCCAACGCCUAGUUCUCAUCGUUUACGGCGUGGACUAC
rnacentral:misc_RNA from 1 species